CCAGACUCCUACGGGAGGCAGCAGUAGGGAAUCUUCGGCAAUGGACGAAAGUCUGACCGAGCAACGCCGCGUGAGUGAAGAAGGUUUUCGGAUCGUAAAACUCUGUUGGUAGAGAAGAACGUUGGUGAGAGUGGGAAGCUCAUCAAGUGACGGUAACUACCCAGAAAGGGACGGCUAACUACGUGCCAGCAGCCGCGGUAAUACGUAGGUCCCGAGCGUUGUCCGGAUUUAUUGGGCGUAAAGCGAGCGCAGGUGGUUUAUUAAGUCUGGUGUAAAAGGCAGUGGCUCAACCAUUGUAUGCAUUGGAAACUGGUAGACUUGAGUGCAGGAGAGGAGAGUGGAAUUCCAUGUGUAGCGGUGAAAUGCGUAGAUAUAUGGAGGAACACCGGUGGCGAAAGCGGCUCUCUGGCCUGUAACUGACACUGAGGCUCGAAAGCGUGGGGAGCAAACAGGAUUAGAUACCCUGGUGGUCCACGCCGUAAACGAUGAGUGCUAGAUGUAGGGAGCUAUAAGUUCUCUGUAUCGCAGCUAACGCAAUAAGCACUCCGCCUGGGGAGUACGACCGCAAGGUUGAAACUCAAAGGAAUUGACGGGGGCCCGCACAAG
rnacentral:rRNA from 1 species